UACGGAGGGUGCGAGCGUUAUCCGGAUUCACUGGGUUUAAAGGGUGCGUAGGUGGGAAUGUAAGUCAGUGGUGAAAUCUCUGAGCUUAACUCAGAAACUGCCAUUGAUACUAUGUUUCUUGAAUUUUCUGGAGGUCAGCGGAAUAUGUCAUGUAGCGGUGAAAUGCUUAGAUAUGACAUAGAACACCAAUUGCGAAGGCAGCUGGCUACAGGGAUAUGACAUGAGGCACGAAAGCGUGGGGAUCAAACAGG
rnacentral:rRNA from 1 species